CAGACCCAGUGUUCCCCACACCUCAACACAGUAAGACAGACUACAGACCCAGUGUUCCCCACACCUCAACACAGUAAGACAGACCCAGUGUUCCCCACACCUCAACACAGACUACAGACCCAGUGUUCCCCACACCUCAACACAGUAAGACAGACUACAGACCCAGUGUUCCCCACACCUCAACACAGUAAGACAGACUACAGACCCAGUGUUCCCCACACCUCAACACAGACUACAGACCCAGUGAUCCCCACACCUCAACAGACUACAGACCCAGUGUUCCCCACACCUCAACACAGACUACAGACCCAGUGUUCCCCACACCUCAACACAGACUACAGACCCAGUGUUCCCCACACCUCAACACAGUAAGACAGACCCAGUGUUCCCCACACCUCAACACAGACUACAGACCCAGUGUUCCCCACACCUCAACACAGUAUGACAGACUACAGACCCAGUGUUCCCCACACCUCAACACAGUAAGACAGACUACAGACCCAGUGUUCCCCACACCUCAACACAGACUACAGACCCAGUGAUCCCCACACCUCAACAGACUACAGACCCAGUGUUCCCCACACCUCAACACAGACUACAGACCCAGUGUUCCCCACACCUCAACACAGACUACAGACCCAGUGUUCCCCACACCUCAGUAAGACAUGUACACUGACCUUCACCCUCCUCAGGAUCCCAGUGAAAACCAACAGCCUCCUUCUGGAUACAAAGCAAUCCAUCUUUAUUAAAACGUUUCAACUUGUUAGGAUGAAGAGAGAUGACAGGUGAUGAGACGUUCGUGCUCCAGCUUCGACUAGUGGAAAGUCAUGUUGUAUGUUUGAGAAGGGUGAUUCCCCGCUGCUUCCCUGCUGGUUAAUACCUAUAUGUACAACGUUACCACAGUCUUCCUCAGCUUCCUCCUACACAAUACUACAACCAAAGAGCACCACUGGUGAAAAUAUUUACAGACAGACAAUGUACAUUUUAGGUGUUUUUCCUUUAUGCCAUCUUUUUUAAAACAUUAAAGCAUUUGAAACUCUGUAGGUGAAAGUAGCCUCUCAGUGUGUAUCGUUGUCCUCGUCCCGUUCUACAGCACAACAGCCCCGAGUCACACAGCUGAGAGGACAGAUCCACAGACCCACUGGCUCUGACCUGUCAGGAAACUGACCUGGAGUCAGGGUGCGCAUCACAAAUACCACCUUAUUCCCUAUAUAGUGCACUAGUUUUGACCAGAGCUUUUGGCCAUAGGUCUCUGGUCAACAGUAAUCACCUACAUAAUGAAUAGGUUGCUAUUUGGGAUACACCCUUAGUCAGACCUGACCAGCUACAGGAGGUACUAAGGAAGUGACAACAACAACAACAACACCACCACAGUAAAACAAGAUGGAGGAAUCUGACCACAGAACAGAUAUUAUGUGAAGACACUGUGAAAGAGUCGUACCAGAAUGCUGCCUUUUGAAAAAAUAAACAUGUUGCCUUUGAAUAGUAUCCUGCCUGAUUCAGAACUAGCCUUUCACCCAGGGUAUAACAUCAAUCAACAGGUGAAUCAGAACUAGCCUUUCAUCCCAGGGUAUAUCAACAGGUGAAUCAGAACUAGCCUUUCAUCCCAGGGUAUAUCAUCAAUCAACAGGUGAAUUAGAACUAGCCUUUCAUCCCAGGGUAUAUCAUCAAUCAACAGGUGAAUCAGAACUAGCCUUUCAUCCCAGGGUAUAACAUCAAUCAACAGGUGAAUCAGAACUAGCCUUUCAUCCCAGGGUAUAACAGGUGAAUCAGAACUAGCCUUUCAUCCCAGGGUAUAACAUCAAUCAACAGGUGAUUCAGAACUAUCCUUUCAUCCCAGGGUAUAUCAUCAAUCAACAGGUGAUUCAGAACUAGCCUUUCAUCCCAGGGUUUAUCAUCAAUCAACAGGUGAAUCAGAAGUUGCAGUCUGUAGUAAAAGUGGUCAACAAGACAAGAGGAAGAAACCAACCGUUCAUAAAUUCACAGGAAACUAUUAAAAUAAUUAUUUACAAAAUAACCAAUAUACUACAGAAAAAAACCUACUGCACACACCAGUACUUUUGGAGAAAAGAAAAAUAUAACUAUAUUUAAAUUAACUUUCUUCUUUUUUUUAAACAAUAUAAAAGCUAUGCUCAAAAGUGGCUUUUUCUUUUUAUAAAACAGUCCCAGGUCUUUUCAGUGUCCAUGUGAGAUGAGAGUUGCUGCUGGCAACGCGAGAAAAUAAAUACAUAUUUGUCUCGUCUGUCUUCCUUGGCGUGGAAAUAGUGUCUUCCUGGAUAUCAGACCUGUAGAGAGACCAGAGAACAGACUUACUACAGAGAUACUACAGCACCCAGACUUACAAUCAAAACACCACAGCUAGCCUGAAAUACAGACCUGUUUUGUGCUAACAUUCCACUGCUUGUACUCUUGUGUCAUUUGUUUGGCACGACAAGGAGAUAGAUGAAGGUUAACACAAAGAGACUGGUACCCAGGCUAUGUCACAAACAGCAGCAGCUUGGAGAAAUACAGGCUUCCAUACAGUAUAGACGAGCACAGCUCUUAGCCCAGGCUCCAUAUUCAC
rnacentral:lncRNA from 1 species